GUAUCAGAGGUUAAAGUAUAUCAGAGUGUCCUAGAGCUGAAACAAGGACUGUUCCAUGUAUCCCAUGAAAAGGUGGAUGUAGCUCGGGCUCAUGAAUAUUCUCCUUUGAUUGGGAGAAACUGAGAAUUGAAAAGAUUGCUCAACACAAAUUCAAGUUCAAUCAGGUGAAGGAGUGUUUCCUAGUUCCACUGAUGUGUCUUCAACUUGAAAGAUUAAUUCUAAACAAGAUACAAGGUCAUGGGUACCAAUGGACAACCACCUUCAUAUCUUCCACUCUGGCUAUAUUCUCUAUGGGUUAAGUCAAGGUGUCUGAGGCUUCUCACUCAAGUGUCCAACAAUAAUCAGUCAGCGUGGAUGGAUUCCAGUUGCCCUGAUACCGUUUAUCCAUGACCACACUAACCUGGUGAAGCCUUUCACCAUGUUCAUCACUGACAGUGCCAAGAUUUGCAGGGAAGAUGUCUAAAUGGGAGCACAGAAAAUAAAUGUUUGGUGACAUGUUGCACUUCAUGAUUUUGUAUGCUUGAAGCAUGUUGUCGACCAGCUGCAGGUAGUUUGGUGCUCUAUAGUUGCCAAGAAAAUUUUCAAUAACAUCCUUGAAUGCAUUCCAUGCGAUUUUCUCUGGUCCCACUAGAAGGUCUUCAGAUUGCUUGUCAUUGAUGACCUAUUUGAUUAGUGGACCAACAAAAAUACCUUCCUUAAUCUUGAUAUCAGUUAUUUGGGAAACAUCUGUCUCAAAUAUCAAAAUCUUUCAUGGAAAUUUUUGUUCCUUGUGACAGCAGAUUCCAUUCUUGCAGUCUAGAACCCAGUAAUUCUGCUUUUGCCUCUGACAAACCCAAGUCUCUGACCAGGUUAUUUAACUCAGAGUGAGUUAUCAGAUGAGGCUCACUCAACGUAAAAAGUUCAAAAUCUGUAAGUGCUGUUUUCCAUUCCUGGCUUGUGCAUCAUGGCAUCUCUGUCUACCUCUUCUAGAUUCCAUGUCUCUAAUGGCAUUGGUACUGGAAGACUAUCGUGAUAUGGCAUAGGUCUCAUGGCUGAAGGGAGUUUGGUGUAUUCAACGGAUUUCUUGUUUUUAGCAGAGAAACCAGGCACAUUGGUGAGACAGAUAUAACAAUCUUGUCACAUGAUCCUCUGCUCUCGCCAUGUCAUCAGGACACCAGACGGCAUUGACAUCCAAGUACCUCUGAGCUAAGCUCUAAGAUCAACAGCGCAUGUUGUGUGACAAAUGUGUGGAACCCCAGGCUUUGUCUUGGUUGACAAAUUUACACCCAAAGUAGAGCUCAUAGGCUUUCUUAAUAAGAAGACUCAUGCCCCAUCUUUGAGAUUUAAGCAUAUACUUGCCACAGAUAUAACGAAGAAUUGUGGCUGUUCCAACAUUAGCAAGACAUUUUGCUGUCACAAAUAUUCCUGAAAAUACAUGCCUGGACAAGGUAGAAAACUUUUCUGCUUACGUUGUGGGCAACCUUUUAAUUGAUCUGAAUUAUGAAUUACAAUAACAAAAAUGGGUGAUUUUUUUCUAAAAAAUGGUACGUGAUAAGGAAAUACAAUGAUUUUCAUGAUCAGCUGACUAAAAUCAAUAAAAUACAUCCAGAAGUAUUCAGAAGCAAAAUCUUUGUUGUCCAGUGUAAUCUCUUCCCAUAGGAGAG